rnacentral:rRNA from 1 species
UACGGAAGAUCCAAGCGUUAUCCGGAAUUACUGGGCGUAAAGAGUUGCGUAGGUGGCAAAGUAAGCGGUGCAUGAAAUCUUGUGGCUCAACCAUAAGACUAUGCUCUGAACUGCUUAGCUUGAGUGCGGGAGAGGUACCUGGAAUUCCUAGUGUAGGAGUGAAAUCCGUAGAUAUUAGGAGGAACACCGAUGGCGUAGGCAGGGUACUGGCCCGUUACUGACACUAAGGCACGAAAGCGUGGGGAGCGAACGGG